CGAUAGGUCUGGGUAGAUUACAAGAAACCGAUUGAUAUUUUGGUUUCGUUGAAUGGUCCGGAACCCGAUGUGGUUGGAUUCCGUUGAGUGGUCCAGAAUCCUUACUCUUGCAUAUUUCCAAAAAGGUUAGUCUAGAACCCUAGAUUCGAGUGAAUGGGAAUUAUCCACAUUAAACCUUAUGAAUAUAAAUUAGAUUUGCCAUGUUGUUACUCAUAAUGCAAGUAGGGAAUUAUAUAGAGUUCUUUAAUUAAAUACGUGAAAUGAUAUGUUAUCGUAUUGAUUGAUUAACGUAGUUAAAUGCUAAGAUCAUCCAUCCUUGAUUCAUGAAUGGAUUAAUUGACGAGAUUGUGGAACGACAUUGGAUACGAUUAUUAUUAUUAUGAUUAUUUUAGUGAUCAAUGUGGCUUGAGAAUAAUAUUGUGCUUCAUUGGUUAUUGGAUAUGUUACAUGUUGUGGAUGGAGGUAUCAUGUUGAAAACAUAGUGAUUUAUGUGGUGGAUGGAAUGGAAACCUUAAAUGUCAUGUGGGUUUGUUAUGUAAACAUGAAUCUAGUAAUUCAUGCUUGUUAAGCUCUAAUAAUUGAUUAAGGAAUGUUAUUCUUUUCGAUUUGAACGUAUUGUGAUAAACGUCGAAGUGUAUUGAAUGGUGAACUACGAAUGGCUUGAAUCCUAUUGAUGGUACGUAUGCAGUCUAACGAGGAGGUUAGAUGCAACCAUAAAGUAUACGAAAAAUUACUAUGUGAUUCGAUUUUCGAGUUGUGAAUUGCAAUAUUCUAGAGGCAGGGUAUGUUUCAGAUAUGGGUAUUUAGCGACGUCACGUGUUGAUCUUGGACGCAUGUCGGGAUCGGGCAUGACAACAUAGCCAUGUGCACAGUGCGGAAGUGAUAGUGAUAUGACAAUGUGGGUAAAUAAAAACCGAACUAGCUACUUUACACUAGGUAAGUAUAUAAGUACGAGUGUAAGUAUUAGAGUGUAGGUAUACAUAAUCAGAGCGUAAAUACCAAAGUGCAGUCCAGCAGGCUAAAUACUAAAUUAUACAUGAUAUGAAAGAAAAUCCUACAUUGAUAGAUGUCUGUCAGAAC
rnacentral:lncRNA from 1 species